GGGUCAGUAGGUUGGUCGUGCCACCGGUACGUACUGGUCUCACUGGUUCCUCCUUCCUGAAGAACCGUAAUGCCAUUAAUUUGGUGUUGCGGGGAAACAGGACUGUUACUUUGAAAAAAUUAGAGUGUUUAAGGCAAGCUAACGCUUGAAUACAUUAGCAUGGAAUAAUGAAAUAGGACGAUCGAUCCUAUUUUUUUGGUUUCUAGGAUUGACGUA
rnacentral:rRNA from 1 species